rnacentral:rRNA from 1 species
UGGGGAAUAUUGCGCAAUGGGGGAAACCCUGACGCAGCAACGCCGCGUGAGUGAUGAAGGCCUUCGGGUUGUAAAGCUCUGUCUUUGGGGACGAUAAUGACGGUACCCAAGGAGGAAGCCACGGCUAACUACGUGCCAGCAGCCGCGGUAAUACGUAGGUGGCAAGCGUUGUCCGGAUUUACUGGGCGUAAAGGAUGCGUAGGUGGAUAUUUAAGUCAGAUGUGAAAUACCCGAGCUUAACUUGGGUGCUGCAUUUGAAACUGGAUAUCUAGAGUGCAGGAGAGGUAAGUGGAAUUCCUAGUGUAGCGGUGAAAUGCGUAGAUAUUAGGAAGAACCCCAGUGGCGAAGGCGACUUACUGGACUGUAACUGACACUGAGGCAUGAAAGCGUGGGUAGCAAACA